rnacentral:rRNA from 1 species
GACGAACGCUGGCGGCGUGCUUAACACAUGCAAGUCGAACGGAAAGGCCCUGCUUUUGUGGGGUGCUCGUGUGGCGAACGGGUGAGUAACACGUGAGUAACCUGCCCUUGUCUUUGUGAUAACUUCACGAAACUGCGGCUCAUACCGGAUAGGAGAUCCUGCUGCAUGUUGGUGGUUGGAAAGUUUCGGCUGUUGUGGAUGGACUCGCUGCUUAUCAGCUUGUUGGUGUGGUAGUGGCUUACCAAGCGUUUGACGGGUAGCCGGCCUGAGAGGGGGACCGGGCACAAGAGGACUGAGAGACGGCGCAGAAGCGUACGUGAGGCAGCAGGGGGGAAUAUGGCAGAGCGGGCGGGAGCCAGAGGCAGAAAUGUCGCGAGCGUGAUGACGUCUUUCGGGUGGUAAACAGCUGUGGCCGGUGACGAAGCGGGAGUGACGGUAAUGGGUAAAGAAGCACCGGCUAACUACGUG